UUGCACGCUGGCGGCAGGCCUAACACAUGCAAGUCGCGCGGAUGAAGGGAGCUUGCUCCUGGAUUCAGCGGCGGACGGGUGAGUAAUGCCUAGGAAUCUGCCUGGUAGUGGGGGAUAACGUCCGGAAACGGGCGCUAAUACCGCAUACGUCCUGAGGGAGAAAGUGGGGGAUCUUCGGACCUCACGCUAUCAGAUGAGCCUAGGUCGGAUUAGCUAGUUGGUGGGGUAAAGGCCUACCAAGGCGACGAUCCGUAACUGGUCUGAGAGGAUGAUCAGUCACACUGGAACUGAGACACGGUCCAGACUCCUACGGGAGGGAGCAGUGGGGAAUAUUGGACAAUGGGCGAAAGCCUGAUCCAGCCAUGCCGCGUGUGUGAAGAAGGUCUUCGGAUUGUAAAGCACUUUAAGUUGGGAGGAAGGGCAGUAAGUUAAUACCUUGCUGUUUUGACGUUACCAACAGAAUAAGCACCGGCUAACUUCGUG
rnacentral:rRNA from 1 species